rnacentral:rRNA from 1 species
AUUGAACGCUGGCGGAAUGCUUUACACAUGCAAGUCGAACGGCAGCACGGGGGCAACCCUGGUGGCGAGUGGCGAACGGGUGAGUAAUACAUCGGAACGUGCCCAGUCGUGGGGGAUAACGUAGCGAAAGCUACGCUAAUACCGCAUACGAUCUACGGAUGAAAGCGGGGGAUCGCAAGACCUCGCGCGAUUGGAGCGGCCGAUGGCAGAUUAGGUAGUUGGUGGGGUAAAGGCUCACCAAGCCUUCGAUCUGUAGCUGGUCUGAGAGGACGACCAGCCACACUGGGACUGAGACACGGCCCAGACUCCUACGGGAGGCAGCAGUGGGGAAUUUUGGACAAUGGGCGAAAGCCUGAUCCAGCCAUUCCGCGUGCAGGAUGAAGGCCCUCGGGUUGUAAACUGCUUUUGUACGGAACGAAACGGCCUUUUCUAAUACAGAGGGCUAAUGACGGUACUGUAAGAAUAAGCACCGGCUAACUACGUGCCAGCAGCCGCGGUAAAG